ACGCCACGUCCCCGGCGGCGCCACUGGGGUGAAGGCAGCGGGUGCUGGAGUUGCAUAAAACAGAGUUACAUCUUCACACGGAAACUCAAGAUUUGUGCACUGCAAGAGAAUGCUCUGUGGCAAAUUUCGAGAGCUGCCUGGGUGAAGCUGAAGAGCCCUUUUUGUGAGACAGCUCAAGUACUUCUCAUACAGAAAUGCCUUCCAAGAAGCAAGACUGGUAUUUAUUGCAACAGAUACUGAUUAUGCUAAAAGUAACAAAAAUCAACUUUUAAACCAUGCAAUUCAGAGUAUUUGGAUUCCAGCCUGCUUGGUUUCCUCAAUGUUUCAACAGUUGUUUUUUCAAAAAGUCUGCAUUCAAAGCACUUAUGAAGAAUCAACUGACACUUCCUCUUGGCCUGGCAUCAAGUACUGUGUAGUAAGUCAAAUACUGUAUGGUAAGUUGUUCUCUUAAAGGACACUCACGCUUUAAUACAUUUUUUCAACUUUUACUGUACUUUCAAGUGACUUCUAUUCCUGAU